rnacentral:sRNA from 1 species
UACACAUUUCUGAAAACACCCCAAAAACAAAGGGUUUUUGGGGUGUUUUCAGAAAUGUGUA